CAGUCGCCGCGGGAAUACGGAGGGAGCUAGCGUUGUUCGGAAUUACUGGGCGUAAAGCGCGCGUAGGCGGUUACUCAAGUCAGAGGUGAAAGCCCGGGGCUCAACCCCGGAACUGCCUUUGAAACUAGGUGACUAGAAUCUUGGAGGGGUCAGUGGAAUUCCGAGUGUAGAGGUGAAAUUCGUAGAUAUUCGGAAGAACACCAGUGGCGAAGGCGACUGACUGGACAAGUAUUGACGCUGAGGUGCGAAAGCGUGGGGAGCAAACAGGAUUAGAUACCCCAGUAGUCCCUGUCUCUUAUAC
rnacentral:rRNA from 1 species